rnacentral:rRNA from 1 species
GAUGAACGCUAGCUACAGGCUUAACACAUGCAAGUCGAGGGGCAGCAUUAUCUUAGCUUGCUAAGAUAGAUGGCGACCGGCGCACGGGUGAGUAACACGUAUCCAACCUUCCGGUUACUCGGGGAUAGGCUUUCGAAAGAAAGAUUAAUACCCGAUGUUGCGUAUCUUUCUCCUGAAAGAUACGCCAAAGGAUUCCAGUAACCGAUGGGGAUGCGUCCCAUUAGCUUGUUGGUAGGGUAACGGCCUACCAAGGCAACGAUGGGUAGGGGAACUGAGAGGUUUAUCCCCCACAUUGGUACUGAGACACGGACCAA